rnacentral:rRNA from 1 species
GAUGAACGCUGGCGGCGUGCCUAAUACAUGCAAGUCGAGCGAACGGACGAGAAGCUUGCUUCUCUGAUGUUAGCGGCGGACGGGUGAGUAACACGUGGAUAACCUACCUAUAAGACUGGGAUAACUUCGGGAAACCGGAGCUAAUACCGGAUAAUAUUUUGAACCGCAUGGUUCAAAAGUGAAAGACGGUCUUGCUGUCACUUAUAGAUGGAUCCGCGCUGCAUUAGCUAGUUGGUAAGGUAACGGCUUACCAAGGCAACGAUGCAUAGCCGACCUGAGAGGGUGAUCGGCCACACUGGAACUGAGACACGGUCCAGACUCCUACGGGAGGCAGCAGUAGGGAAUCUUCCGCAAUGGGCGAAAGCCUGACGGAGCAACGCCGCGUGAGUGAUGAAGGUCUUCGGAUCGUAAAACUCUGUUAUUAGGGAAGAACAUAUGUGUAAGUAACUGUGCACAUCUUGACGGUACCUAAUCAGAAAGCCACGGCUAACUACGUGCCAGCAGCCGCGGUAAUACGUAGGUGGCAAGCGUUAUCCGGAAUUAUUGGGCGUAAAGCGCGCGUAGGCGGUUUUUUAAGUCUGAUGUGAAAGCCCACGGCUCAACCGUGGAGGGUCAUUGGAAACUGGAAAACUUGAGUGCAGAAGAGGAAAGUGAAAUUCCAUGCGUAGCGGUGAAAUGCGCAGAGAUAUGGAGGAACACCAGUGGCGAAGGCGACUUUCUGGUCUGUAACUGACGCUGAUGUGCGAAAGCGUGGGGAUCAAACAGGAUUAGAUACCCUGGUAGUCCACGCCGUAAACGAUGAGUGCUAAGUGUUAGGGGGUUUCCGCCCCUUAGUGCUGCAGCUAACGCAUUAAGCACUCCGCCUGGGGAGUACGACCGCAAGGUUGAAACUCAAAGGAAUUGACGGGGACCCGCACAAGCGGUGGAGCAUGUGGUUUAAUUCGAAGCAACGCGAAGAACCUUACCAAAUCUUGACAUCCUUUGACAACUCUAGAGAUAGAGCCUUCCCCUUCGGGGGACAAAGUGACAGGUGGUGCAUGGUUGUCGUCAGCUCGUGUCGUGAGAUGUUGGGUUAAGUCCCGCAACGAGCGCAACCCUUAAGCUUAGUUGCCAUCAUUAAGUUGGGCACUCUAAGUUGACUGCCGGUGACAAACCGGAGGAAGGUGGGGAUGACGUCAAAUCAUCAUGCCCCUUAUGAUUUGGGCUACACACGUGCUACAAUGGACAAUACAAAGGGCAGCGAAACCGCGAGGUCAAGCAAAUCCCAUAAAGUUGUUCUCAGUUCGGAUUGUAGUCUGCAACUCGACUACAUGAAGCUGGAAUCGCUAGUAAUCGUAGAUCAGCAUGCUACGGUGAAUACGUUCCCGGGUCU